rnacentral:rRNA from 1 species
UUAAUGUGACCUCAAAUCAGGUAGGACUACCCGCUGAACUUAAGCAUAUCAAUAAGCGGAGGAAAAGAAACUAACAAGGAUUCCCCUAGUAACUGCGAGUGAAGCGGGAAAAGCUCAAAUUUAGAAUCUGGCGGUCUUAUGGCUGUCCGAGUUGUAAUCUAGAGAAGUGUUAUCCGCGCUGGACCGUGUACAAGUCUCCUGGAAUGGAGCAUCAUAGAGGGUGAGAAUCCC